rnacentral:rRNA from 1 species
UACGUAGGGUCCGAGCGUUGUCCGGAAUUAUUGGGCGUAAAAGGGCUCGUAGGCGGUUUGUCGCGUCGGGAGUGAAAACACGGGGCUUAACCCCGUGCCUGCUUCCGAUACGGGGCAGACUAGAGGUAUGCAGGGGGAGAACGGAAUUCCUGGUGUAGCGGUGAAAUGCGCAGAUAUCAGGAGGAACACCGGUGGCGAAGGCGGUUCUCUGGGCAUUACCUGACGCUGAGGAGCGAAAGCAUGGGGAGCGAACAGG